rnacentral:rRNA from 1 species
GGUCAAGUGACUAAGCGUGCACGGUGGAUGCCUUGGCAGUCAGAGGCGAUGAAGGACGUGGUAACCUGCGAUAAGGUUCGGUGAGUCGGUAAACAGACUUUGACCCGGACAUUUCCGAAUGGGGAAACCCACCCAGUAUAAGCUGGGUAUCUCUUGAGUGAAUACAUAGCUCU